GACAGAGGUGCCGAGCGUUAGGCGGAAUCACUGGGCUUAAAGCGUGUGUAGGCGGAGGCCUAAGUACCUUGUGAAAUCCCACGGCUCAACCGUGGAACUGCUUGGUAUACUGGGUCUCUUGAGCCACCUAGGGGCAAGUGGAACAAACGGUGGAGCGGUGAAAUGCGUAGAUAUCAUUUGGAACGCCAAUGGUGAAAACAGGUAGCUGGGAGUGUGCUGACACUGAGACACGAAAGCCAGGGGAGCAAACGGG
rnacentral:rRNA from 1 species